rnacentral:rRNA from 1 species
GGGUUGUGAGGUUAAGCGACUAAGCGUACACGGUGGAUGCCCUGGCAGUCAGAGGCGAUGAAGGACGUGCUAAUCUGCGAUAAGCGUCGGUAAGGUGAUAUGAACCGUUAUAACCGGCGAUUUCCGAAUGGGGAAACCCAGUGUGUUUCGACACACUAUCAUUAACUGAAUCCAUAGGUUAAUGAGGCGAACCGGGGGAACUGAAACAUCUAAGUACCCCGAGGAAAAGAAAUCAACCGAGAUUCCCCCAGUAGCGGCGAGCGAACGGGGAGCAGCCCAGAGCCUGAAUCAGUGUGUGUGUUAGUGGAAGCGUCUGGAAAGGCGCGCGAUACAGGGUGACAGCCCCGUACACAAAAAUGCACAUGCUGUGAGCUCGAUGAGUAGGGCGGGACACGUGGUAUCCUGUCUGAAUAUGGGGGGACCAUCCUCCAAGGCUAAAUACUCCUGACUGACCGAUAGUGAACCAGUACCGUGAGGGAAAGGCGAAAAGAACCCCGGCGAGGGGAGUGAAAAAGAACCUGAAACCGUGUACGUACAAGCAGUGGGAGCACGCUUAGGCGUGUGACUGCGUACCUUUUGUAUAAUGGGUCAGCGACUUAUAUUCUGUAGCAAGGUUAACCGAAUAGGGGAGCCGAAGGGAAACCGAGUCUUAACUGGGCGUUAAGUUGCAGGGUAUAGACCCGAAACCCGGUGAUCUAGCCAUGGGCAGGUUGAAGGUUGGGUAACACUAACUGGAGGACCGAACCGACUAAUGUUGAAAAAUUAGCGGAUGACUUGUGGCUGGGGGUGAAAGGCCAAUCAAACCGGGAGAUAGCUGGUUCUCCCCGAAAGCUAUUUAGGUAGCGCCUCGUGAAUUCAUCUCCGGGGGUAGAGCACUGUUUCGGCAAGGGGGUCAUCCCGACUUACCAACCCGAUGCAAACUGCGAAUACCGGAGAAUGUUAUCACGGGAGACACACGGCGGGUGCUAACGUCCGUCGUGAAGAGGGAAACAACCCAGACCGCCAGCUAAGGUCCCAAAGUCAUGGUUAAGUGGGAAACGAUGUGGGAAGGCCCAGACAGCCAGGAUGUUGGCUUAGAAGCAGCCAUCAUUUAAAGAAAGCGUAAUAGCUCACUGGUCGAGUCGGCCUGCGCGGAAGAUGUAACGGGGCUAAACCAUGCACCGAAGCUGCGGCAGCGACGCUUAUGCGUUGUUGGGUAGGGGAGCGUUCUGUAAGCCUGUGAAGGUGUACUGUGAGGUAUGCUGGAGGUAUCAGAAGUGCGAAUGCUGACAUAAGUAACGAUAAAGCGGGUGAAAAGCCCGCUCGCCGGAAGACCAAGGGUUCCUGUCCAACGUUAAUCGGGGCAGGGUGAGUCGACCCCUAAGGCGAGGCCGAAAGGCGUAGUCGAUGGGAAACAGGUUAAUAUUCCUGUACUUGGUGUUACUGCGAAGGGGGGACGGAGAAGGCUAUGUUGGCCGGGCGACGGUUGUCCCGGUUUAAGCGUGUAGGCUGGUUUUCCAGGCAAAUCCGGAAAAUCAAGGCUGAGGCGUGAUGACGAGGCACUACGGUGCUGAAGCAACAAAUGCCCUGCUUCCAGGAAAAGCCUCUAAGCAUCAGGUAACAUCAAAUCGUACCCCAAACCGACACAGGUGGUCAGGUAGAGAAUACCAAGGCGCUUGAGAGAACUCGGGUGAAGGAACUAGGCAAAAUGGUGCCGUAACUUCGGGAGAAGGCACGCUGAUAUGUAGGUGAAGUCCCUCGCGGAUGGAGCUGAAAUCAGUCGAAGAUACCAGCUGGCUGCAACUGUUUAUUAAAAACACAGCACUGUGCAAACACGAAAGUGGACGUAUACGGUGUGACGCCUGCCCGGUGCCGGAAGGUUAAUUGAUGGGGUUAGCGCAAGCGAAGCUCUUGAUCGAAGCCCCGGUAAACGGCGGCCGUAACUAUAACGGUCCUAAGGUAGCGAAAUUCCUUGUCGGGUAAGUUCCGACCUGCACGAAUGGCGUAAUGAUGGCCAGGCUGUCUCCACCCGAGACUCAGUGAAAUUGAACUCGCUGUGAAGAUGCAGUGUACCCGCGGCAAGACGGAAAGACCCCGUGAACCUUUACUAUAGCUUGACACUGAACAUUGAGCCUUGAUGUGUAGGAUAGGUGGGAGGCUUUGAAGUGUGGACGCCAGUCUGCAUGGAGCCGACCUUGAAAUACCACCCUUUAAUGUUUGAUGUUCUAACGUUGACCCGUAAUCCGGGUUGCGGACAGUGUCUGGUGGGUAGUUUGACUGGGGCGGUCUCCUCCUAAAGAGUAACGGAGGAGCACGAAGGUUGGCUAAUCCUGGUCGGACAUCAGGAGGUUAGUGCAAUGGCAUAAGCCAGCUUGACUGCGAGCGUGACGGCGCGAGCAGGUGCGAAAGCAGGUCAUAGUGAUCCGGUGGUUCUGAAUGGAAGGGCCAUCGCUCAACGGAUAAAAGGUACUCCGGGGAUAACAGGCUGAUACCGCCCAAGAGUUCAUAUCGACGGCGGUGUUUGGCACCUCGAUGUCGGCUCAUCACAUCCUGGGGCUGAAGUAGGUCCCAAGGGUAUGGCUGUUCGCCAUUUAAAGUGGUACGCGAGCUGGGUUUAGAACGUCGUGAGACAGUUCGGUCCCUAUCUGCCGUGGGCGCUGGAGAAUUGAGGGGGGCUGCUCCUAGUACGAGAGGACCGGAGUGGACGCAUCACUGGUGUUCGGGUUGUCAUGCCAAUGGCACUGCCCGGUAGCUAAAUGCGGAAGAGAUAAGUGCUGAAAGCAUCUAAGCACGAAACUUGCCCCGAGAUGAGUUCUCCCUGACUCCUUGAGAGUCCUGAAGGAACGUUGAAGACGACGACGUUGAUAGGCCGGGUGUGUAAGCGCAGCGAUGCGUUGAGCUAACCGGUACUAAUGAACCGUGAGGCUUAACCUUACAACGCCGAAGGUGUUU